CAGCCGCCGCGGGAAUACGUAGGUGGCAAGCGUUGUCCGGAAUUAUUGGGCGUAAAGGGCUCGCAGGCGGUUUCUUAAGUCUGAUGUGAAAGCCCCCGGCUCAACCGGGGAGGGUCAUUGGAAACUGGGAAACUUGAGUGCAGAAGAGGAGAGUGGAAUUCCACGUGUAGCGGUGAAAUGCGUAGAGAUGUGGAGGAACACCAGUGGCGAAGGCGACUCUCUGGUCUGUAACCGACGCUGAGGAGCGAAAGCGUGGGGAGCGAACAGGAUUAGAUACCCCGGUAGUCCCUGUCUCUUAUAC
rnacentral:rRNA from 1 species